CUGAUCAACAAGAACAAUCAAAGGACCGCAAAACUUAUUUGUUUUAAAUGAUAGACAAGGAGAAUGAUGAUUCAUAAGAUGAACUUGCAUGAAGUGGAGAAUUCUUGAUUUCUUCAGUGUUUAAGAAGGCAUAAGAGCUGACAAUUGAGGAGCUACUUGACAUGCUGUAAUCUCAUCUUUGAAAAUGGACCUCAUGGAUUCAAGCCUGUAGGGACUAGAAAACAUUUUUGGAGAAUUUUCCUGUUCUCUCUGCUAUGUUCUCCAGAGGAUGGAAACGGUAGAAGAGAUGACAACAAAUGUCACACACUUAAAUACAUGUGAGUAAUGGCACAAGCACUUGUUAAGUCAGAUGUUUCUUUGAAACAUCAAAAAUUAUUAAAUUUUCAUGGGAAGCUUGAA
rnacentral:lncRNA from 1 species